CCUACGGGCGGCAGCAGUGGGGAAUAUUGCGCAAUGGGCGAAAGCCUGACGCAGUGACGCCGCGUGAGGGAUGAAGGUCUUCGGAUCGUAAACCUCUGUCAGCAGGGAAGAACGGUCACUGUGCUAAUCAGCAGUGAAUUGACGGUACCUGCAAAGGAAGCACCGGCUAACUCCGUGCCAGCAGCCGCGGUAAUACGGAGGGUGCGAGCGUUAAUCGGAAUUACUGGGCGUAAAGCGCUCGUAGGCGGUAUGUCAAGUCAAGGGUGAAAUCCCCGCGCUCAACGUGGGAACUGCCUUUGAAACUGGCAAACUGGAGUGUGUGGGAGGAUAGUGGAAUGCCAGGUGUAGGAGUGAAAGCCGUAGAGAUCUGGAGGAACAUCAGUGGCGAAGGCGACUAUCUGGCACAUAACUGACGCUGAGGAGCGAAAGCGUGGGUAGCAAACAGGAUUAGAUACCCUGGUAGUC
rnacentral:rRNA from 1 species